ACGGAAGGCAGCAGUGAGGAAUAUUGGUCAAUGGUCGGAAGACUGAACCAGCCAAGUCGCGUGCAGGAAGACGGUCCUAUGGAUUGUAAACUGCUUUUGUACGGGAAUAAAGUGGGGGACGUGUCCCCUUUGGAAUGUACCGUAAGAAUAAGGGUCGGCUAACUCCGUGCCAGCAGCCGCGGUAAUACGGAGGACCCGAGCGUUAUCCGGAUUUAUUGGGUUUAAAGGGUGCGCAGGCGGAGGAUUAAGUCAGCGGUUAAAUUCGCAUGCUCAACAUGAGAACUGCCAUUGAUACUGGUCCCCUUGAGAGAUGUCGAGGAUUGCGGAAUGUGAUGUGUAGCGGCGAAAUGCUUAGAUAUGUCACAGAACACCGAUUGCGAAGGCAGCUGUCCAGAGAGCUUCUGACGCUCAGGCACGAAAGCAUGGGUAUCAAACAGGAUUAGAUACCCUGGUA
rnacentral:rRNA from 1 species